rnacentral:rRNA from 1 species
ACCAGACGAUGCGGGAUCGAAGAUGAUUAGAUACCAUCGUAGUCUUAACCGUAAACAAUGCCGACUUGCGAUUGUUGUGGUCGUUUUUUAGAUCACAGCAGCAGCACAUGAGAAAUCAAAGUCUUUGGGUUCCGGGGGGAGUAUGGUCGCAAGGCUGAAACUUAAAGGAAUUGACGGAAGGGCACACCAGGAGUGGAGCCUGCGGCUUAAUUUGACUCAACACGGGGAAACUUACCAGGUCCAGACAAAGUAAGGAUUGACAGAUUGAGAGCUCUUUCUUGAUUCUUUGGGUGGUGGUGCAUGGCCGUUCUUAGUUGGUGGAGUGAUUUGUCUGGUUAAUUCCGAUAACGAACGAGACCCCAACCUGCUAACUAGACUAGUCUAUUUCACGAUAGAUUAGCGCUUCUUAGAGGGACAUUUCGGAUCUACCGGAAGGAAGUUCGAG